rnacentral:misc_RNA from 1 species
CAACCCUCAGGCCCCCAGUGCCUGGCGUUGGAGAUCGGCCGCACGGCGCAGUCCCCUCCGGGGGGCCGCCGCCGGGCCGGCUCCGAAAUCUAGUGGCGGUCUCGCUGUAGUCCUCCUCUGCGUAGUAGCACAACCUCGCAGUUGGAACGCGGUGAUGGCCAUGCCGUUAAACACCCCACUUCUGAA